rnacentral:rRNA from 1 species
AGUGAACGCUGGCGGUAGGCCUAACACAUGCAAGUCGAACGGCAGCACAGGAGAGCUUGCUCUCUGGGUGGCGAGUGGCGGACGGGUGAGGAAUACAUCGGAAUCUACUCUGUCGUGGGGGAUAACGUAGGGAAACUUACGCUAAUACCGCAUACGACCUACGGGUGAAAGCAGGGGACCUUCGGGCCUUGCGCGAUUGAAUGAGCCGAUGUCGGAUUAGCUAGUUGGCGGGGUAAAGGCCCACCAAGGCGACGAUCCGUAGCUGGUCUGAGAGGAGGAUCAGCCACACUGGAACUGAGCCACGGUCCAGACUCCUACGGGAGGCAGCAGUGGGGAAUAUUGGACAAUGGGCGCAAGCCUGAUCCAGCCAUACCGCGUGGGUGAAGAAGGCCUUCGGGUUGUAAAGCCCUUUUGUUGGGAAAGAAAUCCAGCUGGCUAAUACCCGGUUGGGAUGACGGUACCCAAAGAAUAAGCACCGGCUAACUUCGUGCCAGCAGCCGCAGUAA